rnacentral:misc_RNA from 1 species
GGGGUCCCUUGUGUUGGAAAUUCAGUUGAAACCUCUCUUGCUUUAGAUGCUUGCAGAACUAAUAGUAAAGACAGAAGAAACUCCGUGAACGAGGAUGUAUCCUUAGCCGAGACUUUGGGAGUAGGUUCAACCAAGCUGCCUAGAAACCAGAACGUCAGAAAUGGAUGGACAGGAAAGAGUUUGGAGGGGUCUGCUGUGAAGGAAACAGAUCUGUUAGACAUGUCUGAAGAAGCCAAAGCUGAGAGGUGGUUCCAGCGUGUUGCUCAGAUAAAAGACAUAUCUGAAUUGAGUCAGAUCCCAGAUGAAGACUUCCCAUCUAUUAUGCCAAUGCGCAAGGGAGUUAACAGAUUUGUGGUGAGUAAGCGGAAAACUCCUCUUGAGAGAAGGUUGACAUCUACUCAGUACCGGAGAAAUCUUCCCGUUGUGACUUCUGAUCCUAUGAAAAGAGAAAGGGACAACAAUGAUAAAUGAACCUACACAGAUACAGUGCCCAAGGUUUUGCAAACCAGAUUUUUUAUAGAGCAUUGAUGCUAAG